GACGAACGCUGGCGGCGUGCUUAACACAUGCAAGUCGAACGGAAAGGCCCUGCUUUUGUGGGGUGCUCGAGUGGCGAACGGGUGUGUAACACGUGAGUAUCCUGCCCUUGACUUUGGGAUAACUUCAGGCAACUGGGGCUAAUACCGGAUAGGAGCUCCUGCUGCAUGGGGGGGGUUGGACAGUUUCCGCGGUGGGGGAUGGACUCGCGGCUUAUCAGCUUGUUGGUGGGGUAGUGGCUUACCAAGGCUUUGGCGGGUAGCCGGCCUGAGAGGGUGACCGGCCACAUUGGGACUGAGAUACGGCCCAGACUCCUACGGGAGGCAGCAGUGGGGAAUAUUGCACAAUGGGCGGAAGCCUGAUGCAGCAACGCCGCGUGCGGGAUGACGGCCUUCGGGUUGUAAACCGCUUUCGCCUGUGACGAAGCGUGAGUGACGGUAAUGGGUAAAGAAGCACCGGCUAACUACGUG
rnacentral:rRNA from 1 species